rnacentral:rRNA from 1 species
GGUUCAGGAUAAACGCUAGCGGUGUGCAUUAUGCAUGCAAGUCGAACGGUUUACCGAAAGAUAAUCAGUGGCAAACGGGCUGAGUAACGCGUAAGUAAUCUGUCCUUAGGUGGGGAAUAAUUCACCGAAAGGUGGACUAAUACCGCAUGUGGUAGUGAGGGUAGGUUUUCACUACUAAAGCUCUCGAGCGCUUGAGGAGGGGCUUGCGUCCUAUCAGGUAGUUGGUGGGGUAACGGCUCACCAAGCCUACGACGGGCAGCUGGUCUGAGAGGAUGUCCAGCCAGACGGGGACUGAGACACGGCCCCGACUCCUACGGGAGGCAGCAGCAAGGAAUUUUGCGCAAUGGGCGAAAGCCUGACGCAGCAACACCGCGUGAGGGAAGAAGGCCUUCGGGUUGUAAACCUCUUUUGUUAGGGAAGAAUAAUGACGGUACCUAAUGAAUAAGUCACGGCUAACUACGUGCCAGCAGCUGC